AGAACGAACGCUGGCGGCAGGCUUAACACAUGCAAGUCGAGCGCCCAGCAAUGGGAGCGGCGGACGGGUGAGUAACACGUGGGAACAUGCCUUUCGGUACGGAACAACUUCGGGAAACUGAAGCUAAUGCCGUAUGCGCCCUUACGGGGAAAGAUUUAUCGCCGAAAGAUUGGCCCGCGUCUGAUUAGCUAGUUGGUGAGGUAACGGCUCACCAAGGCUUCGAUCAGUAGCUGGUUUGAGAGAACGACCAGCCACACUGGGACUGAGACACGGCCCAGACUCCUACGGGAGGCAGCAGUGGGGAAUCUUGGACAAUGGAGGAAACUCUGAUCCAGCCAUGCCGCGUGAGUGAUGAAGGCCUUCGGGUUGUAAACUCUUUUACCAGGGAAGAUAAUGACUGUACCUGGAGAAUACGCCCGGCUAACUUCGUGCCAGCAGCCGC
rnacentral:rRNA from 1 species